UAUGGCGUAGUGGCUCAGACUUUUCUCGUAACUGUUCGUAUUUACCCGUCUACAAAAGAACUUCGGUUAUUAAAAACGGGUGGGAAAUUCGGUGGUUCACUCCAUUCAAUUCAUUAUGAAUUAACAUUUGCUCUUGAGAGUUCCUGGCGUGAAACGCUGGUUGGUAGCAUCAGAAAACAACAGAUUUAUCUGUAUGGGAGCUACCAAUGAAUGGUUGACCUUCAUGGUUAUUAAGUGCAAUAUACGGACUUCAUUUGAAGAACUCGAUACCGAUCAUAGUUAUGAGUUUAG